UUGAGUACCAAUUCACCGACUUGAUACCCCCGAGGGUGCACUUUCUGACCAAAUGCUUUCUUCAUUCGUCUCUGACCGAGAUACGUCAAUUCUGGGUAUGUAGUUCCAGCAUAGCACCAUUUCCCGUUGGUUUGAUUGAUGACCAAAGCUGAAUCCCCGUAUACAUCCAGGGUUUUAAUCUGUAUAUUGACGGCUUCCUCAAGUCUUAGGAUACAAGCUUCGUAUUCGGCUUCAUUGUUGGUGCAGGGAAAAGUUAUUCUGGCACCAAAUGGCAUAUGAACCCCCUUCCGGUGUGAUCAACACUACACCAACUCCGCGACCAUUGACG
rnacentral:lncRNA from 1 species